rnacentral:rRNA from 1 species
AACGAACGCUGGCGGCGUGCCUAACACAUGCAAGUCGAGCGCGAAAAGGGCAACCUGAGUAGAGCGGCGCACGGGUGCGUAACACGUGGGUAAUCUGCCUUAGAGUCGAGGAUAACCUUCCGAAAGGUUGGCUAAUACUCGGUAAGCUUACGGUGUCUUCGGACGCUGUGGGAAAAGUAGGCCUCUGUUUACAAGCUUACGCUCUGAGAUGGGCCCGCGGCCCAUCAGCUAGUUGGCGGUGUAACGGGCCACCAAGGCAACGACGGGUAGCUGGUCUGAGAGGACGAUCAGCCACACUGGAACUGAGACACGGUCCAGACUCCUACGGGAGGCAGCAGUGGGGAAUUUUCCACAAUGGGCGAAAGCCUGAUGGAGCAACGCCGCGUGUGUGAUGAAGGUUUUCGGAUCGUAAAGCACUUUCGACUGGGACGAAAAACCUUUGGCUAACAUCCAGGGGCCUGACGGUACCAGGAGAAGAAGCACCGGCUAACUCUGUGCCAGCCGCCGCCGUAAAAC